UAUUCCCUACAGGUCCACAGGCGGCGUGUUUCUGUGCAUCAGUUCCUGAGAAUCACAAGUGCUGCUGUGCUCAGAUUCUGCUUUCAGUUUUUACACAGGCAUCUGUGAGAACAGGAUGCUGAACUUGGGCCAGUGGCCUGACCCAGCGGGCUUUUCUUACGUUACAAAGGAAGACUUCCAAGAGAGAAUCUUUUAACAUAGCACUUAAAUAAGUGCAGCAAGUUUCAGAAAGUCCGAUAAUGCACUCCCAAAUCAGAAAUUCUGAAACCAUUCCAGCACCGUGCCAUUUUACUUUUUCUCUGCAUCAUCUGAACUAUGUACUGGCAGUUUCUUUGAGUAUCUUUUUUUCCUACUUAUUUUUAUUUGGUA